rnacentral:rRNA from 1 species
UACGGGGGGGAGCAAGCGUUGUUCGGAUUUACUGGGCGUAAAGGGCGCGUAGGCGGUCAGCACAAGUCAGUUGUGAAAUCUCCGAGCUUAACUCGGAACGGUCAACUGAUACUGUGCGACUAGAGUGCGGAAGGGGCAACUGGAAUUCUCGGUGUAGCGGUGAAAUGCGUAGAUAUCGGGAGGAACACCCAUAGCGAAGGCAGCUUGCUGGGACGUUACUGACGCUAAGGCGCGAAAGCGUGGGGAGCGAACAGG